UGGGGAAUAUUGCACAAUGGGCGAAAGCCCGAUGCAGCGACGCCGCGUGAGGGAUGACGGCCUUCGGGUUGUAAACCUCUUUCAGCAGGGACGAAGCGCAAGUGACGGUACCUGCAGAAGCAGCACCGGCUAACUACGUGCCAGCAGCCGCGGUAAUACGUAGGGUGCAAGCGUUGUCCGGAAUUACUGGGCGUAAAAAGUUCGUAGGCGGUUUGUCGCGUCGUUUGUGAAAACCAGCAGCUCAACUGCUGGCUUGCAGGCGAUACGGGCAGGCUUGAGUACUGGAGGAGGGACUGGAAUGCCUGGUGUAGCGGUGAAAAGCGCAGAUAUCAGGAGGAACACCGGUGGCGAAGGCAGGUCUCUGGGCAGUAACUAACGCUGAGGAACGAAAGCGUGGGUAGCGAACAGG
rnacentral:rRNA from 1 species